UAUUGAUUUUAGCUUUUAGUCUAUAUUUGGCAUAUUUAAUUAUGAUAUUUCGACGAUGUGAAUGAAAAUUCCCUAAGAUGUGUCAGAUUUGGUAUUGGACAUAAACAGCAGCACUUGCUCAUUCUGUACACUUUAUCGCUUGCCUCCAGUGGUGAAAAUAUAUAUAAAACAUUGCAGCGCUGGUUCCCCUUAAUAAAGGUUGUUUGGUUUAUCUACAACAAACUUAAAGUAAUAAUGUCUAAUAUUUCCAUUUAAAUAAAUGUCUGUUAAGUCACUAUCUAUCGCUGAAUGAGGUAACACAAUGGUGAUUGAGCCUAUGGCCCACUGAUGAAAGCCCUUGCAUUUGCAGUAUUACUAAGUAUUAUGAACUGGGUGUUUGUGGCGACAUUCCCGUGAAAAAUCACAAGCAGCGCACAGUUAGUGACGCGUUUUCCAUCUCCCAGCAGUGGUUGGUCCGCCAGAGAGGGUAGGCGGAGAUAUCGCAACAGGCUCCCUCUUCAACUCACUUGUGUGUGAUCGGAAUACUGUUUAUUUCCGGUCUCUGCUAGCGUUGUGACUGCGAGUAGACGGUUACUAUGGCCGAACAAACAAAGAAAAGAUCGAUGCCUACAGACGAUGAAACUUCAAAAACAAGUGCAAAUCCAAAGAAAAAGAAACAAAUUCGACGUUCAGAUGAAGGCAAACGGUCAAAAAAGCUAAGCGACCGUCAGCGAGGAAAAACCAGAGUUACCAUCGGCGUUGCCUUGCCAAGGUGGAGGGCAUUGAAAGAAGAAAAGGGACUGAGGGGCGAUACAGAUAUGGCUCUCUUACUCUUGGACUGUUAUGAACGUUAUGCUCGGGGUCCAUCUGUGUCGACCCCAGGCAAGCGUGGUGAUCAGCGUGCCCCUGCCCCAUCAAUGUCCAGCACUGGAGCUGAAUCUGAGCGGGAUGAUGCCUUGUCAGACAUUGGUUGUGUUGAGGAUAGCGAAGAGGUGGAUGUCUUGCAAGAAAGGUACACAAAAGAUGAGCUGCACGUCUCCUGUACUUUUGAGCCGCAGUAUGAUGCAGGAAGAAGUCUGUCUGAGACAGGACACUGAGACAACACUACCAGAGCUCACUGAGCAGCACAGGAUCAGACCGGAAGAAGAGGAACUCAGUGGACUGGAGUCUGUCCACAUGGCAGAGUCAGAGACAGUGUGUGCUGCACCAGGACUCAACACACCAGAGCCAGAAUGUGUUACAGCACACUGUGGGGUCAGUGAUGUACACCAUACACACACAUCACUGAUUAAAACAGAAACUGAUCUGGGCUCCACCCACACUGGGAAUUUUAUCAAGACUGAGAUCCUUGAAAAUACAGAGCUGGGAUCUGUAACCCAUAUGCAUCCUGACCAAAUCAAAACGGAGACUAAUGAUGGAGGUUACCUGAAGGCAGAACAUAUCAGCGACUUGAAGGAUUUUAAAUGUGUUCAUAUUAAAUUUGAAAAGAUUGAAUCCAGUGAAAUUUUAGUGAGUGAUCUCGUGAAUACUGUGAUGAAUGGAGUAGGCCACAAAGACUGAAUCAGGGCAAUGUGCAGGACAGCCAAGCCCAAACUGUAAAAAAGAGGAACCUUAUGGUCUACUGUGACAUGAACAGUGAAAAUAAUCUGACCAGAAUUGUCCAGAAAAGUGUAAACAGUAGCAACAAACAUAUGAACUGUGAUAAUUGAACCCAUGGUAAUUCAAUCAAAUAAAAAAACCAAGCCAUUUGAAAAUCUUUCAUACAAAUGAAAAACUACCAAAUCUAAUUUGAAUCACCAUCUGAGAAUUCAUACAGGUGAAAUGCCUUACAAAUGUAUUCACUGUGCAACAUGCUUUUCCCAAAUAUGUAAGUAGCCGUUUGAGAAUUAAUUCAGAAGAAAAGCCCUAUACAUGUUCUCCGUGAGGCAAGUGCUUUUCCCAAAAAGAUGCAUUAAGUUUUCUAAAGAUACUUUGCACCAAUGGAAAAAACAUACACCUGCAAUGUGGGAUGCUUUUAAUUUAACUUGCCACCAUACAGCCGAAUAGCCCUACAAAUGUUUUCAGUAUGGGACCUGUUUUUCCCAGCGAACUCUGUUUAAUUGCCUCAAUGCAAGUAAUACAAGUACUCAGUGUGGGAAUUCUUUCAAAUGUACUCGGUGGUUAAAUUUCAUUUUCUAGGCCUACAAGUGAAGAGACUGACAAAUGUACUCAUUGUGGGAAGUGUUUCCCAUAAUAGGCCACAGAAGUGGGUCAUGUCUGUGACAGAAGUUGGUGCCAGGAAAUCACACUCAGGUAGCCAUUUUUCCUAUGAAUGUUUUAGUAUUAGCAAUUUUAUGAAAGUAUGUCAAACCAGCUUUUAACCACAUUGUUACAAUAGUGUAAAAAGUACCAAACAAUGAGAACCUCUGAAUUGGCGUAAUGUUUGACACAAGGCGCAGUGCACUUCUCGACAUGCCCUGAAUUAUAUUUGUUUUCACCCCUUUUAAUGCUCUUGCUGUCAUCCUUAAAAUAAAGUUGCUUAAUGUGACUGCCAUAAGCUAGCUAAAUUAGGACUCGGACAGGCUGAAACGCAAGAAGGGUACGUCAUGAACUUAAUGCUGUAUGGAAUUGUAGUCCGCUUGCAUAAUAUGGCCAGUAAAGACAUUAAUCAAACAAAACUGCCAAAUGACUGACAUGACUAUUAGAAACCACUUGAAUGAAUGAAUGAAUUCUUGCAUUUAUAUAGCACGUUUUCAAAUGCUCAAACGCUCUUAGUGAAAGUACAAACCAAAAAACAUACUUUGUUCAGUUGUGUAAGCAGUUGAGUGUCAGACAGAGACUAAAAAAACAUGGACAAAGCUACUGUGACGUCACCCAUUGACUCCGUGGGUCUCUAAAACACGUUUUGAAGUCAAUGGCGGGCGCGGCCAUGUUGUCGAUUUGGAGCCAAAACCAUAGAGUUAAGCGGUCUUGUGAUUUUACAAUGUGAUUGACAGUCCGGUGCGGAAAAGCCCAUCAACCUGAACGAACGAUUGCAGAACGAACUUGAGGCUAGCUGACUGUCUGCCGUUAUGUUUUAAAAUAUAUUAUCAAAUGUUUACGGAGUUUAAUUUCCAUCCCUGACUGUACUGUGUCAUGUAAUCACGUUAUAUGUAUGACAUUAAUAAUACAAUUAUGUUCAGUUAUCUUCAAUUUAUGUUUGUCAGCAAAACGAAUAUGCUUAGCUAGCAUAUCAGCUUGCCAGUGAGCUAGGUAGGCUAUCCGUGGUUAGCUCAGGCAUUAGCAAUAUGAACCACAGGGGAAGAACAUUGACUACACUGAUGGUCAAUCAAUCUGAGAUGUGUAGGCUGCUGGUGAUUUGACUAGGCUAAUUUUCGUAUAACUGUCUGGUAGACCUGCUGUUAACCGAGCAAGUUAUCGUCAUAGGUUUUCGCCACAGUCAGUUAAUGAGCCAGUAACUGAUACUAGCUACUCCAUCGCCGUUUGUGAUGCUAGCUGACCGAUCGUUCGCAAGUCACUUUCUACCGAAUAAAAAUUAACACUGUCAGGUGAUUAACAAAUCUACCAAGUAUUUUAAUAACUGAUCUGCAGGCGUGUAAAUAUGACAGCGCACUUUGUACAGCAAGUUUUCCACCUGGUGCAUGAAGACAAAAAUAAUGUACAUUGAAUUUCGAAUUAUUAUUAGGCUAUUAUUAUUUUUUUCAUCAUCAGAUGAUUUUGAUAUUUUAAAUCAUCAAAGCCAAUAGAGAAAAGCCAAUAUACGCAAUGAGCCCCCAGGACCGAUUCUGAGAACCACUGUCUUAGAUGCUCUUGUCGGUCUCUUAAAUGUUAAAAACAUGUUCCUUUCUAAAUUCCAGUCUUGCAAAGAUUGUUAAUUUCGUUAAAAUCUGUAUGUGUGAUUUCAUCGUGUGUCGUAUGUUAUUCAGCAAAUAAACCUUAAGACUCUUAAUUCGCUUCGUGAAACUGAAAAAUUUGCAGUGUUUAUCCCAAAAUCGGGAUAAUAGUAGGUUUGUCACAUGCGUGAAGCAUGGCCCAGGUAGACAUUUAUGGAAUGUAGGCUACACGACUGACAAGCCGUCAAACACGUUUGACAGAUUGAAUAUUUGCCGGUUAGGGUUAGCUAGUCAAAUGGCUUGGUAGCCGAAGUUGCAAACUGUUUUAGCAUAGGCUACUGGACUACCAAAUAUAGCAAGCUGAUUAAGCUUUCUGCCAACUAAUUAUUUGGUUAAGUAGGCUAAAGGAAAUAGUAAAAAUGACUCGGCUACCGAAAAACUUCGGAGGAGGAUUAUUUUAUGGUCGUCUAGUGCAGCUGUAAAUAGCACACGCCAUAAUGAAAUCACUACGAAAUGGGAUGCCUGCAUUUUCUGACUUCGCACAGGUGGACCGUGGUCGGAGCCACAAUGUCAAGGCCAAGAGGCGCCACCGCCCAUUCCAGUGACCAUAGACUCUAGCCCCUACUGUAGCUAGUCCUCUGCAGUAAUCAGGAAGUGACGCAAACUGUACCUCAUUGGUCCACAACAAAUAUUAUAACAGUGCCCAAAUGACACAAUAAAUCAUGAAAUCGACCCACGGACAGUCAUAAGACGAAUAAAAUACACAUAU